rnacentral:rRNA from 1 species
CNUGGUAGUCCACGCCGUAAACGAUGAGUGCUAGGUGUUAGGCCCUUUCCGGGGCUUAGUGCCGGAGCUAACGCAAUAAGCANUCCGCCUGGGGAGUACGACCGCAAGGUUGAAACUCAAAGGAAUUGACGGGGGCCCGCACAAGCGGUGGAGCAUGUGGUUUAAUUCGAAGCAACGCGAAGAACCUUACCAGGUCUUGACAUCCCGAUGCUAUUCUUAGAGAUAGGAAGUUACUUCGGUACAUCGGAGACAGGUGGUGCAUGGUUGUCGUCAGCUCGUGUCGUGAGAUGUUGGGUNNNNNNNNNNCAACGAGCGCAACCCUUAUUGUUAGUUGCCAUCAUUAAGUUGGGCACUCUAGCGAGACUGCCGGUAAUAAACCGGAGGAAGGUGGGGAUGACGUCAAAUCAUCAUGCCCCUUAUGACCUGGGCUACACACGUGCUACAAUGGUCGGUACAACGAGUUGCGAGCCGGUGACGGCAAGCUAAUCUCUGAAAGCCGAUCUCAGUUCGGAUUGGAGGCUGCAACUCGCCUCCAUGAAGUCGGAAUCGCUAGUAAUCGCGGAUCAGCACGCCGCGGUGAAUACGUUCCCGGGCCU